UCCAGAACAGCCUAUAAAGAAGGGCACACCCGUCUCUGUCGCAAAAGAGUGGGAGGAUUCUUGAGUAGGGGCGAUAAACCUAUCGAACCUGGUUAUAGCUGGUUGUCUGGGAUAUGAAUAGAAGUUCAGCCCUCCGGGCCCACAGUCCAACAAGCGUGUAAGGACCCCAACAGACCCAGAGGAGUUAAUUGAAGGGGGUACAGCUCCUUUAAUAGCAAGAUACAACUUUAGAAGGUGAGUAAGGAUCAUAGCUGACAUAAGGCUCCGUGCUUUAGUAGGCCUGAAAGCAGCCAUCUAUGAGGAUAGCGUUAAAGCUCAAGCACAUUUAUACCACCUAUGCCGACAACUCCGUCCGAACCCCCUAACUUUACCAGACCAUUAUGUACAAGUACAUAAGUGAUUCUGCUAAAAUGAGUAAUAAGGAGUCUCCACAGAGGCCUCCUCCUAGCACACGUGUACAGCGGAGCGAACCCCCACCGCCACCUAACGAUGCCACUACAAGAGGCGACUUGGUCGAGAGUUAAACAAUUAAAAAAUCACCCAGUAUACCCACGUUAACCCCACACCGGAGUGCACCAAGGAAAGACUUAAUGAGGGAAAAGGAACUCGGCAAACUAAGGUCUCGCCUGUUUACCAAAAACAUCGCCUCCCGCAUAUAAAAAAUGGGAGGUCCCGCCUGCCCCGUGACUAUAUGUUUAACGGCCGCGGUAUUUUAACCGUGCAAAGGUAGCGCAAUCACUUGUCUCUUAAUUGGGGACCUGUAUGAACGGCAUAACGAGGACCUACCUGUCUCUUCCCCCAGGUCAAUGAAAUUGAUCUUCCCGUGCAAAAGCGGGCAUAAACACACGGGACGAGAAGACCCUGUGGAGCUUGAAACACCUGAGGACCCGGGCCAAACACCCCACUCAAGGGGACUAACACACCGGCCUCUCCUUAAAUGUUUUCGGUUGGGGCGACCAAGGGAUACAAUAGAACUCCCACGUGGAACGGAGCACACUCCACAACCAAAACCGACUUGUUUAAGUGCCAGAAUAUCUGACCAAGGGAUCCGGCAAAGCCGAUCAACGAACCAAGUUACCCCAGGGAUAACAGCGCAAUCCUCUUCUAGAGCCCUUAUCGACGAGAGGGUUUACGACCUCGAUGUUGGAUCGGGACCCCCUAAUGGUGCAGCCGCUAUU
rnacentral:rRNA from 1 species